rnacentral:rRNA from 1 species
AUUGAACGCUGGCGGCAUGCUUUACACAUGCAAGUCGAACGGCAACAGGCCGCAAGGUGCUGACGAGUGGCGAACGGGUGAGUAAUGCAUCGGAACGUGCCCAGUCGUGGGGGAUAACUACUCGAAAGAGUAGCUAAUACCGCAUACGAUCUAUGGAUGAAAGCGGGGGACCGUAAGGCCUCGCGCGAUUGGAGCGGCCGAUGUCAGAUUAGGUAGUUGGUGGGGUAAAGGCUCACCAAGCCAACGAUCUGUAGCUGGUCUGAGAGGACGACCAGCCACACUGGGACUGAGACACGGCCCAGACUCCCACGGGAGGCAGCAGUGGGGAAUUUUGGACAAUGGGCGCAAGCCUGAUCCAGCAAUGCCGCGUGCAGGAAGAAGGCCUUCGGGUUGUAAACUGCUUUUGUACGGAACGAAACGGCUCUGGUUAAUACCCGGGGCUAAUGACGGUACCGUAAGAAUAAGCACCGGCUAACUACGUG